AAAAUCAAAAUUUCUUUUUAACAAUUACAAUAUUUAAUCAAUUAAUCUAAACAAUUAAUCAAUAAAAAAUUAUAAAACCAAAUCAAAAAGAAAUUAAAUAAAUAGAACACAAGGGUGUGAACAACGGAUAUGGAAGUAUGGGCAAUCAAAACCACAAAACAUGAGCCCAAGGCCCAUCAAAAUAAAAUCUUAAAUCUAUAAUAAUAAAUAUAAUAAUAAAU
rnacentral:lncRNA from 1 species